rnacentral:rRNA from 1 species
GACGAACGCUGGCGGCGUGCCUAAUACAUGCAAGUUGAGCGCUGAAGGUUGGUACUUGUACCGACUGGCUGAGCAGCGAACGGGUGAGUAACGCGUGGGGAAUCUGCCUUUGAGCGGGGGACAACAUUUGGAAACGAAUGCUAAUACCGCAUAAAAACUUUAAACACAAGUUUUAAGUUUGAAAGAUGCAAUUGCAUCACUCAAAGAUGAUCCCGCGUUGUAUUAGCUAGUUGGUGAGGUAAAGGCUCACCAAGGCGAUGAUACAUAGCCGACCUGAGAGGGUGAGCGGCCACAUUGGGACUGAGACACGGCCCAAACUCCUACGGGAGGCAGCAGUAGGGAAUCUUCGGCAAUGGACGAAAGUCUGACCGAGCAACGCCGCGUGAGUGAAGAAGGGUGUCGGAUCGUAAAACUCUGUUGGUAGAGAAGAACGUUGGUGAGAGUGGAAAGCUCAUAAAGUGACGGUAACUACCCAGAAAGGGACGGCUAACUACGUG